AUUUUUGUUCAGGGUAGGCCAAUUUCACACUUUUGAAACUAGUAGUGGAACAAUGCUUUGCAUAUUGCCUCAUAAUAUUGAAGAAGGGUUCAGUUU